rnacentral:misc_RNA from 1 species
GGGGAUAACAGUUCCUUUGAUAAGUCAGACAAUGAAUGCAUAGAAGAUGUUGGUCAUUUAAGUGAUACCGAGAUCAUGACCCCAACCUCACGGAAUUCAUGGGACUUCAACAAUAGAAUUGGCAGUCCUUACUCGCCUUCCUCUUUCAGUCGGGCAUCCUGCUCACCCGAGUCCUCAAUGAUAAGGGAAGCCAAGAAAAGGCUAUCAGAGCGGUGGGCUUUCGUGGCGUCAAAUAAUAUCAGCCAAGACCAA